AUUGAACGCUGGCGGCAUGCCUAACACAUGCAAGUCGAACGGUAGCAGGCCCGCAAGGGUGCUGACGAGUGGCGGACGGGUGAGUAAUACAUAGGAAUCUGCCUGAUAGUGGGGGAUAACUUAGGGAAACUUAAGCUAAUACCGCAUAAGCCCUACGGGGGAAAGCAGGGGAUCGCAAGACCUUGCGCUAACAGAUGAGCCUAUGUCGGAUUAGCUAGUUGGUAGGGUAAAGGCCUACCAAGGCGACGAUCCGUAACUGGUUUGAGAGAACGACCAGUCACACUGGGACUGAGACACGGCCCAGACUCCUACGGGAGGCAGCAGUGGGGAAUAUUGGACAAUGGGGGCAACCCUGAUCCAGCAAUGCCGCGUGUGUGAAGAAGGCCUUCGGGUUGUAAAGCACUUUCGGUGGGGACGAAAAGCUUAAGGCUAAUAUCCUUGAGUAUUGACUUAACCCAAAAAAGAAACCCCCGGCUAACUCUGUGCCAGCCAGCCGCCGGUAAUACAAAGGGUGCGAGCGUUAAUCGGAAUUACUGGGCGUAAAGCGCGCGUAGGCGGUUUGGUAAGUUGGAUGUGAAAUCCCCGGGCUCAACCUGGGAACUGCAUUCAAUACUGCCUCACUAGAGUAUGGUAGAGGGAAGCGGAAUUCCACAUGUAGCGGUGAAAUGCGUAGAUAUGUGGAGGAACAUCAAUGGCGAAGGCAGCUUCCUGGACCAAUACUGACGCUGAGGCGCGAAAGCGUGGGUAGCAAACAGGAUUAGAUACCCUGGUAGUCCACGCCCUAAACGAUGAGAACUAGAUGUUGGGAAGUAUAUCUUCUUAGUGUCGCAGCUAACGCGUUAAGUUCUCCGCCUGGGGAGUACGGCCGCAAGGUUG
rnacentral:rRNA from 1 species